GGUCAGGCGGGACCACCCGCUGAGUUUAAGCAUAUCAAUAAGCGGAGGAAAAGAAACUUACGAGGAUUCCCCUAGUAACGGCGAGCGAACCGGGG
rnacentral:rRNA from 1 species